GCAAGGCAGGAGGAAUUCCUGCAUUGAGACUCGCUCCUUGGGAGCGUCAAACUCUCUCAGCCCUGGGGAGCGGGCCUCGGUCAAGGGUACUCGGGUCGCCCCCAGGGAGGGGAGCACUCGAGGGCCGCGAGGUUCCGGGUACCGGUCCCCGGCGACGUCCGCGAGGAUGGCUCUGCAGCGGCAGCGGCCUCGGGGCCCAGGUGGGCGGAGGCAGCUGAACAAGCCAUAUUUCCUGAAACGGAGGAGCUAUAAAAGCUGGGAAAAGAUGUUACCCUAACACGAUCUGAGAACCUCUGAGGAAGGUAAUCUGUGGAGUGAUGCUUCAGCACUGUGCAAAUAUCCCUUCACGCACUGAGUGUCUUCUCCAGAAGGAUUUAAAUUGUUUCCCUCUACUCUCAAGAAACUAAUAAAAUAAGGAUGAGAAAACCC